ACACGUGGGCAAUCUGCCCUUCACUCUGGGACAAGCCCUGGAAACGGGGUCUAAUACCGGAUAACACUCUGUCCCGCAUGGGACGGGGUUAAAGCUCCGGCGGUGAAGGAUGAGCGCGCGGCCUAUCAGCUUGUUGGUGGGGUGAUGGCUCACCAAGGCGACGACGGGUAGCCGGCCUGAGAGGGCGACCGGCCACACUGGGACUGAGACACGGCCCAGACUCCUACGGGAGGCAGCAGUGGGGAAUAUUGCACAAUGGGGCGAAAGC
rnacentral:rRNA from 1 species